UAUGUUUAUAAUAUGAUAUGCUUGCUUGUAUAUUUUCUUUUGCAUCAGAAAUAGAUUGGUGAUGCCUCUUGAGUAUUUCAAACGUAUUCUGAAGCUGUAUUAACAUUAAUAAUUCUGAGAAUCAGGACCGGAUCCCUUUUCUGAAGUGUUAUAGUGAAAAUUGAAAAUUUUGGAAUGAUAACCCGGGAUCGAUGCUGGAUAAAGAAUUAUAUAUCGUGUAGUUUUGACCUGGUUUAAUUUAAAUUCUAUUCUAGUAUCAAAAGUUUGGUCGAGCAUUUUAGCAGUUGUUUUGUAGUAUAUGAUCAUUGAGUAAGUUAUUUAGUUCUGUCUUGAAGAGAUUUUGGUCUGAUCCAAAAAGCUUAAUAAACACUUACUUUAAAGUCAGCAAGGCCUUAAGCUUCAAUAAUUGGGCUUAGAUCAAAAUCUUGUUGCAGUCUAAUGUUCGCAAAGAAAGAAGAAAGCAGCCAGAUCCUCCUUGUGUUGUCUGU
rnacentral:lncRNA from 1 species